rnacentral:rRNA from 1 species
GAUGAACGCUGGCGGCGUGCCUAACACAUGCAAGUCGAACGAAGCACCUUACCUGAUUCUUCGGAUGAAAGUUUGGUGACUGAGUGGCGGACGGGUGAGUAACGCGUGGGUAACCUGCCCUGUACAGGGGGUUAACAGCUGGAAACGGCUGCUAAUACCGCAUAAGCGCACGAGGAGACAUCUCCUUGUGUGAAAAACUCCGGUGGUACAGGAUGGGCCCGCGUCUGAUUAGCUGGUUGGCAGGGUAACGGCCUACCAAGGCAACGAUCAGUAGCCGGUCUGAGAGGAUGAACGGCCACAUUGGAACUGAGACACGGUCCAAACUCCUACGGGAGGCAGCAGUGGGGAAUAUUGCACAAUGGGGGAAACCCUGAUGCAGCAACGCCGCGUGAGUGAAGAAGUAUUUCGGUAUGUAAAGCUCUAUCAGCAGGGAAGAUAAUGACGGUACCUGACGAAGAAGCUCCGGCUAAAUACGUG